rnacentral:tRNA from 1 species
UAGACAGAUGCUCACUGGUUUUAGCGUUUAGCUGUUAAUUAGAAGUUUGUAGGAUCGAAGCCUUCCUGUCUAU